rfam:Ovis aries breed Texel chromosome 2, whole genome shotgun sequence.
UCCCUGAUAGCUCAGUUGGUAAAGAAUCUGUCUGCAUUGCAGGAAACCCUGGUUCGAUUUCCAGGUCAGGAAG